UCAGACGAAGCUUUUGUAUAUAAGAAAUGCAAAGCUACCACACCAGGAAGAUAUUAAGAAGAGAUCUAAAUUCCUUCAAUUUGCUGUUUAGGAAUGAAGAGUAACAAGUAAUGAAAACGCCAAAGUGUUUCCUUUAUCUGCAUUUGCACCUGCACCUCCUACAUCACUCUCCUCUCUUUAAUUUCACCAUUUUUUCCUUGGUUUUUUAAUCAGGUAAAAAUUCUUCGCGUAUAAUAGGUGUGAAUUCAAUUUUCACUAUUCACUUUUCCCUUGAUUUUCACUAUCUACCUUCCCCUCCCAGGGAGGCGGAUCCAACCUAGUAGGUAUGGGUUUACCAAUUCAAUACCUUUUAAUUUGUACAUAACUUGUAUAUAAAUAUUUGAUUGUGAAUCCAAUUACUUACUUUAUUAUAUAUUUACUUGAGAUCGUUAUAAAAACUCAUAAACUGCAAAUUCUAUUCUGGAUUCGCCUAUGCCCUUUCCCCUUCUCUCAUGUAAUGGAAAAGAAAAUAGGAAACCAAAAAUAAAGUAAAAAGAGGCUCCAUUAUGAUAAAGACUACAUGAAAGUACAAUGGAUUCAAAGGAGGUGCAGGUUCAAGUGCAGUUUCAGGCAGCAGGCAAAGAUUGGACUUGAAUGGUAGCUCAUUGGAGAUAAAGCAAAGUGAAGGGGCGUAUCCACCAAAGAUAACAGCAGAAAAGAUGGGAACACAAAUGAGCAGGUAACUUAUAUUUUCUUUUCACCAUUAAUUAUAAAUUAAAAUGAAAUUCUGAGUUCGAUGGAGAUUUAAUUUUCUUGUUCAUAUAAUAAAAUCAUGGGUAAAUAUUUUAGUGGUAACUAACGAAUGACACAGUGUAAUCAUUAAAGUUUAAAGAUGAGACUUCACUAAGUCCGAAUGGAGCCAUAGUGAAGAUUCAUAAAGUCAAUUCCAAUUAGUUUGGGAUUGACGAAUUGUUGACAAAACUACAAUAGUUACUAUUAGUGAAUCUUUUUUUCACACAAUACAGCUGGCAUUUCCUUGGCAACUCCCAGAUUUUACUAAUGCAUGUUGUUACAUACAUAAGUGAUUUUAGAAUUUUGAAUUUAUGAAUUCGCAGCUUAUUGGGUUAUGAUUAAAGGUGUACAAAACGAAUCGGAAAACCAUACUAAUCCGAAAAGUCAAAUCAAACCAAUUAAAAAACCCGACUAGGCUUGGUUUGAUUUGGUUUGAUAUUGAAUUAAAAAA